AACUUGAGCUUCCGGGUUGCAACAAUUAUCGCCAAAGUUCGCUUUUGAAUUUUUGGUAGCAUCGAGGAAAGCUUUUGAAUUGUGAAAUACAGGUAGUCGGGCCCCCAGCUUUUCUCGUAUGAUGGUAGAGUUUAUUGCUGCUUCGAAUACCAUCAAACAUGUGAAUAGGUCAUCUGUUGCUUUCGGUUUGGAUAGUAGGGAGGUCAGGUCAGGUACUCAUUAUGGUCCUUUAAUCUGGAUUAGGGAGCCUUGUCCCAAAGUGCAUGCUUAUCUGCCAGAGUGAAAGAGUCUGCCAGAGUUAGAUUUUCUUUCAUAAUCAAUUUUUCGAAUAAUGGGUGGUCUGUUGGAAGUCUUUUUUGGAAAGCUACUCUAGUUAUCGAGUUGUUGCAUCCAAAUAUCUUUGCCUUCUCUGCUUUGAACCUCUUCAUAGUCGUGAAGCGACUCAUUUUGGUUCUUCUUGACGUUGAACAAAUGGUUGGACUUCUUCUUGAUCGAGCGAUAUGAUGAAUAUUCUUUGGUGAAAACCAAAGAAAGUUCGUCAAAACUCCGGAUAGAUUGUGGUGGCAAGGUGUAGAACUAAUCCCGUGCCUCGCCUUGUAAAGUGGUAGCGAAUAUCUUUCAAAUGAGAUCGUUGUUGUUUCGAUAGAUGAUCAUUGCCUUUUAGUAGUGCUUUAAGUGUUUCUUCGAGUCUUCAUCCCCUUUGAAAUAUGUGAAAUGGGGCUU
rnacentral:lncRNA from 1 species